GGGGAAUAUUGGACAAUGGGGGGAACCCUGAUCCAGCCAUGCCGCGUGGGGGAAGAAGGCCUUGGGGUGGUAAACCCCUUUUGUUGGGAAAGAAAGGAAGCGGGCCAAUUUCGGGUGGUUCUGACGUUACCCAAGGAAUAAGCACGGGCUACCUCCGUGCCAGCAGCCGCGGUAAUACGAAGGGUGCAAGCGUUACUCGGAAUUACUGGGCGUAAAGCGUGCGUAGGUGGUGGUUUAAGUCCGUUGUGAAAGCCCUGGGCUCAACCUGGGAACUGCAGUGGAUACUGGAUCACUAGAGUGUGGCAGAGGGUAGUGGAAUUCCCGGUGUAGCAGUGAAAUGCGUAGAGAUCGGGAGGAACAUCAGUGGCGAAGGCGACUGCCUGGGCCAACACUGACACUGAGGCACGAAAGCGUGGGGAGCAAACA
rnacentral:rRNA from 1 species